GCCUCUGUGGACUAUGGGAGUCACCUCACUAGCUUGCAUCGAGCAGUUGGAUAUGAACAUAUGCAUUGAGGAGAUGGGGUUCGAUUCCCCCAGAGGCA